rnacentral:ncRNA from 1 species
CUAAAUACUGAGAUGGGAAGUAGUAGGAGUCCAAGGUCUUAUAGAGAGGGGUUGUUGGUGGAAAUACCCUGGAUACAGGCUGUGAAGCAGUCCCGGAGUAUCUCUUUGGAAAUAGUAGUACAUAGAGACGUGAUGCUGCGUUAAUGCUAAUGAAGAUGUCACAUUUUGUGAUAAUCAGGGUGGUACCGCGAAUACAAGCUCGCCCCUGUA